GUCCUGGAUGUUUUGGAGAUGGAGAAAAGGCCCAUCUCUGUGGGUGUUGACCCAUGGGAGCAGAGAGUAUCCUGACAAGGACUGAGAGGUUAAGGAAGGAGCCAGGCUCAAGCUUCAAGGGGACAUAUGCCUGAACAACAAUGCAACUCUGGAUACAAGUGCCUGUGCCCUUCCUCGAGUUGAUGGAAUUUAGCUACUAGAUAUAUGCUCCAUCAGCUUACAGGAGCUCCAACCAUGAUGUCCUGGUCAUGCUGGUCAAGAACGGUUCCCUCAUCCCAAUCCCUGACUUGGGCUUGCAACAUGUCCUAGAACCUGGACCACUAGCACCAGCAGAUGCUGUAACAAAAUUCCUGAACAGGAUGCAAAAGUGUUUCAGCUGAGCCUUGAGAGGUGAACGUACCUUGGCACCUGUCCCCUGGAUGGGACAACUUGAGGAAGGGCCAUCCAUAUUCCUGUUCCCUACCCAGGACACUGCUAAUGUGCAUAUGAGGAGAACACAAGACCCCAACCUGCUGCAGGAUGGAGAGCAGAGACAACUGAAGCCUUCUCCAUAACACUUGUGCAUUCCUUCUGCAGGCUUCAAAAGACUAAUCUGUGAUUUUAGACACAGGACAGGAGGAGACUGAGAGGUGAACGCUAGCUAAGCCUGCGUCUUCUACCAGGGCAGUGACCUGCAAAUGAUGUUCCACUGACUAGAUUUUUGGAUAGUAAUUGUUGUAGUCCAAGAGACUCUUUGACAAGACAAGAGUGUGUACAUUUGGAGCAUUCUGGGGACAUAAUUUUGAUAGUAAUAUAAUUUUCUGUAACCUGC
rnacentral:lncRNA from 1 species